rnacentral:lncRNA from 1 species
ACUACACAGGAAAAAUUAAUUUUUAAAUCUAUGUGGCUGUCUAUACACCAAAUCGAUAAACGAUUGAUUUAUAUCUUAUCACUGUUAAAUAAUUAAAUAUAUAUAGAUAAUCUAAUAUCAAAGUGUAAAUAUUCAUAUUUAAGUUUUAUUCUUUUAUUCAUGAAAUUUAUGUAAAUAAAUUUUUUUAUUAUCAGUGCGUUUGAGAUGAAACUAAAAAAUGAUUUUUUUUGCUAAUGAAUUGCACCGACGAGGCAUCAAAUUAAAUUUCAGAAUGCCCCAAAAAUAUUUUUAAAUUUUGUUUAUUACUGACACAAUCAUUAAUAGAUUUGAGGUAUAAUUGGCUUAUCCGGUGUGACUCCCAUAUACAGAUAUUUGAACAUCAAGUUAGUAAUUCAGUUAAAAGAAUAAUUCAGCAUAUCUUAGAAUCAUAGCGAUCCUUUUUUUAUUUAAAUUUUAUACAAAUUAAUGAUUAAAAUAUUUCAGUACGAGAAGCAUGAGGCAAAGAAAGACCCAGAGCAUGCACACAGGCACAAGAUAGAAGAGGAGAUAGCAGCAGCAGCUGCAGUUGGAGCUGGAGGAUAUGCCUUCCACGAGCAUCAUGAGAAGAAAGAAGCUAAGGAAGAAGAAGAGGAAGCUCAUGGAAAGAAGCACCACCAUCUCUUUUAAUUAAUUAAUUAUGUGUUUCUACCUUUAGUUACUAUUAUUAAGAAAAACUCUGAAUAACAUUUGCUUCAUCCAUAGCUGUGAGCUUCCUGCUGCGUGUUAAGUACCUGUCCCUGUCAAAACCGUUGGCUUAUCUGUUUCCUUUUACGUUGUAAUCCAUGUUUAAAAUAAUAUAUAUAUAUAUAUACAUUCUAAUAAAGCUUCUGUUAUCUUCAGGCAUAUGUAUACAUAUCUAAAUCAGUUCUUGUUACUAAAUAUAUGAAUUUUUUUCUUUCUGAACUGAAUAUAUAAUAAAUAAGUUCUUUGUUAUGUUUGUACAAGAUAAUCAUAAAGAAAAUAAUGUAUUUAGUUAGUUGCUUAUGGUAUGUUUAUUAAAAGCUUUUUCAUUCUUUAGACGGUUAAUUCUGUUUAUAAUCAAGCCCAAUGCAUAUAAAAACACAAUAUCAGAAUUAGAAGUAAACCAGCCCCAACGUUUGCAUCACUACUUUGUAGUAAUACGGAUGACGUUCUCAGAGUUGUCAUGCAGGUAGUUAUUGCAGUAAAAGCUAACCGAAAACCUCGGGGACGAGGCCCCUGGAAACGCAGAGAUUUCAUCAAAGUGCAGAAGUUACCAACAAAUCUGGUAGCUUCUUCGACAGUCCCAUAAAAAAUUCAAGAGCAUAACAGCACUUGAACAUAGCACAAAAACUCACCACAGGCUUUUACCAAACUCUUUUCUUUUUCAGAAAAGGUAGCAACAAAAGAUCAGAGCAUGGCGCCAUAUGACAGCAGUUUCAAAAACCCAAAUUCCAAAUACAAGACAGUGUUCUCACCAUCGCCUUCCUAGUACUACACAAAAAGACAACUCCAUGAUGAUCGGCCGCUAUUAGUUAUAAGGAUAGCGUGGCACAAAAAUCAGCCAUGCAUGAACAGAACCAGAAUGACCAACAUAAAAACUGAUACAUACCUAUAAUACUAAAUUUGUUGUAUUACAUAUUCCUGGUGAAUUCUAUAUAACCGUAUAAUAAAGUAUUUUCCAUUGAAUUACUGUAUUUACAUAAUAUAUAUCCAAAAUAAUAUAAAAGAAAAUAUAUUUUACCAAACAGUACUAUCAAUUUAAUGGCCCAUUAAAGACAGAUGAGCUAUUGCAUGUACGAUUUAAUUUCUUUUUCUUUUCUUUUUUAAUUUCAUAUUGAACGGUGGAUAUAAUUGGAAUGUCAGUUGGGAAAAGAUCUCUAUUUUCUAAAAAAGAAAAGGUUAAUAAGCUAAAAGAAUAAUUCAAGAGUUUAUGUGGUGUUGUAGACAUUCUCUUGGAUCUGGUGUAUCAUCAUUCAUAUCUUUAUGCUGUGUUUCUGGGAUCAUGAUUUGACUUAAAAUCUCUAGCAUCCAAUAGUGAGAGAACAGCACUAAUAGCUGAGCUUGGAAAAAUGCAUAUUUAUGCUACACUAUAAAUUGCUCUCUGCGGGGUAUUCUUAGUUACUGUAUAGUCCAUAUAUAUAAUAAAUGAUAUGUAUUAACUAAUUAGGUUCCACCACCAUCAAUCUUUAAUGGGCCCAUUAGCUGAGUUAAUUGUAUUAUUAAAAUAAAAUUCACCGAAUUUUAUAUUUUUUAAUAAUUUUAUUAAAUUAUUUUAAAAUUUUAAAAUAAAUAUUUAUUUUUUUAAUUUAUUUUAAAAAAUAAUUUUCAAUGACAGUAUUUAAAAUCUCAUAGUAAGAAAAAUAAUAUAGAAAAUAAAUUAUAUUUACUAAAAGAAUGAGAAGUAUGAAUCAAUAAAAAUAAUUUAUCUUAUACUUAAUAACAUAACCAUUAAAAUCUCAUAUAUUUGCUUUCUAUCACUUGUUUUACAUCUAAAUAUAUUUUAUUGGCUCACUAAUUUUUAUGUUAAUAAACAGAAUUGAUUUGACACGUCAUUUUUUUCAUUAUAAAAUUUUAAAAAUUAUUAUCGAAAAAUAUUUUUAAAAAUAUAAGUAUUUGUUUUAAAAUAUUAAAAUUAUUAAAAAUAUAAAGUUCAAAAUUUAAUAAAUAAUUAGGCCAAUAAAAUUUGAUUUAUCCUUUCCUUCAUUUUUAUUUUUCCUGUCACAAAAGCCCCUAUUUAGGUACAUGUUGAUGAGAUUAUAAGACAUAAAUAUAUCACUAAUCUCAACUAGAAUAAUAUAAAGAGGAAAGAACUACUUAACUAGAAAUGUUCAUUUUUAUUGAUUGACUAGAAUUUUCUCUUAUCUAGUAAGUAAAAAUAUUGGUGUAACUAACAUCAGCUUCAUUGAAUAGGAGUACUAAAGUAAUUUUAGAUCAGGUGAUCACGGAUUUAAUAGUCAAAUUCUUUGUUCCUGAAUGGAAAAAGAAAAAACUAAAGUUCCUAUUAAUCAUUUUUCUUCUUUUUAAGUGAAAAUUGUAAUACAAUUUAUGUGAUAUGCAUACCCAUAGUAUAAGCCAGUUAUGAAGUGUAUAUUUAAAAUUAUUAUUUAAUUUAAAUAUAUAUUUUUAUUUAUAUAUUAAAUCGAUAAAUAAUUAAUAUAAAUUAAUUAAUAUAUCAAUUAUACAUAUUAAAAUAUAAAAUAUUCAUAUAAAUAUAUUAAUUUCUUAUUCAUUGCGGAUAAAAAGUAUAUACAACAAAAUAUAAGAUAAGACAUUUGAGGUCUAGCUCAAACGAUAAAAAUAUUUACUCUGUAUUAAAUGAGCUUUUAUCUUUAUGAGUUGCACACGGCUCAGAUGGCUCUCUCAAUAUAUUAAAAUAAAAUAAAAAGAAUAAAACAGCAUAUGCAUUUCACAGUUUCAUAAUUACGUGCAGGUGAGUAGAUCAAUAAGUGAUAACAACUUAAUAUGGUGCCUCAGUUCUUAGAUUCGAAUAUUCUUUCUCAAUUUUAUUUUAUUUUCUUAAAAAGAAUUAUUUUUCACAAAAGUAAAACUAAUUAAUUUAAUUGGUGCCUUAAUUCAAUAAUAAGAUAAAAUAAUCUUAAAAGUGAGUAUCUUAAAACCAAGUAAUCCAAAUUCUGAAUAAUUCACUGCAAUGAGCCAAAAAUAUAUAUAUAUAUAUAUAUAUAUAUAUAUAUAUAUUAUGACUUAACUGAUUGAACUAGUGAUUAUAGGUAUGUAAGCGACAGUAUAAUAUCAUUUAAAUCCACAAAUUUAAGUUUAAUUUUGCCAUCAAUGCUAUCACUGCUAAUAUGCGUUGCAUUUCAUGAUCAUUUAAUCUUUAUAUGUAAUAUUAUUAAUAUCAAUAUUUUUUAAAAUAAACCAAUAAAUAAUUGAGUGAACCGUGCUUUCAUCAUGUAAAUAUAUAUAUAUAUCCCCAUAGCCAUCUCCUCUAUACCAUACUGUAAACAAUCUUUGAUCAUCUCUCUGUUGUUAUCAAUUUUUUAGCAUCUUUAUCAUCAUCCCCACCAGAUAUGGCAGAAGAGAAGCACCACAAUAUCUUCCACCACCACAAGGAGGGUGAGGAAGACCACAAGAAGGAGGAGAAACACCACAAGCAUCUUGAGCACCUUGGUGAGCUAGGUGCUGCUGCUGCUGGGACUUAUGCCUUGGUAAUUCUUUAAUUAGUUCAUCUUUUGACAAUUAAAUACAUUUUUUCUUUUAAAAAAGAACAGGUUCUGAGGUUUUUACUACUUAUUUACUUGGAUAUAUAUGUAUAUCUGUAAUCAGCAUGAGAAGCAUGAGGCAAAGAAAGACCCAGAGCAUGCACACAGGCACAAGAUACAAGAGGAGGCAGCAGCAGCUGCUGCAGUUGGAGCUGGAGGAUUUGUCUUCCAUGAGCAUCAUGAGAAGAAAGAAGCCAAG